rnacentral:rRNA from 1 species
AGGACGAACGCUGGCGGCGUGCUUAACACAUGCAAGUGGAGCGACGAACCAGGGCUUGCCCUGGGGCAGAGCCGCGAACGGGUGAGUAACACGUGGGUUACCUGCCUCGAUGACCGGGACAACCCGAGGAAAACUCGGGCUAAUACCGGAUGUGCCCGCAAGGGGAAAGGAAGCUUCGGCCUCCGCAUCGAGAUGGGCCCGCGGCCCAUUAGCUUGUUGGUGAGGUAACGGCUCACCAAGGCUUCGAUGGGUAGCUGGUCUGAGAGGACGAUCAGCCACACUGGGACUGAGACACGGCCCAGACUCCUACGGGAGGCAGCAGUGGGGAAUCUUGCGCAAUGCGCGAAAGCGUGACGCAGCAACGCCGCGUGGGGGAAGAAGGCUUUCGGGUUGUAAACCCCUUUCAGUUGGGACGAAGCUUCGUCGGUGAAUAGCCGGCCGGAGUGACGGUACCUUCACAAGAGCACCGGCUAACUACGCGCCAGCAGCCGCGGU